rnacentral:rRNA from 1 species
ACCUACGGGAGGCAGCAGUGAGGAAUAUUGGUCAAUGGUCGGGAGACUGAACCAGCCAAGCCGCGUGAGGGAGGAAGGUACAGAGUAUCGUAAACCUCUUUUGUCAGGGAACAAAGGCGGGGACGUGUCCCCGGAUGAGUGUACCUGAAGAAAAAGCAUCGGCUAACUCCGUGCCAGCAGCCGCGGUAAUACGGAGGAUGCGAGCGUUAUCCGGAUUUAUUGGGUUUAAAGGGUGCGCAGGCGGUCUGUUAAGUCAGUGGUCAAAGCCCGGGGCUCAACCCCGGCCCGCCGUUGCAACUGGCAGU